UCGAGAAUUUUUCACAAUGGGCGCAAGCCUGAUGGAGCGACGCCGCGUGGGGGAUGAAUGGCUUCGGCCCGUAAACCCCUGUCAUUUGCGAUCAACCGUUAUUAUUUAAAAGAUGAUAACCUGAUAGUAGCGAAAGAGGAAGGGACGGCUGACUCUGUGCCAGCAGCCGCGGUAAUACAGAGGUCCCAAGCGUUGUUCGGAUUUACUGGGCGUAAAGGGUGCGUAGGUGGCGGUGUAAGUCGGAUGUGAAAUCUCCGAGCUCAACUCGGAAACUGCAUUGGAAACUACAUUGCUCGAGGGUUGGAGGGGGGACUGGAAUACUUGGUGUAGCAGUGAAAUGCGUAGAUAUCAAGUGGAACACAGUGGCGAAGGCGAGUCCCUGGACAACUCCUGACACUGAAGCACGAAAGCUAGGGGAGCGAACAG
rnacentral:rRNA from 1 species